AGAGUUUGAUCAUGGCUCAGAUUGAACGCUGGCGGUAUGCUUUACACAUGCAAGUCGAACGGAUCAAGAAGCUUGCUUCUUGGUUAGUGGCGAACGGGUGAGUAAUGUAUCGGAACAUGUCCGGGAGUGGGGGAUAACGUAGCGAAAGUUACGCUAAUACCGCAUAUGCCCUGAGGGGGAAAGGAGGGGAUCGCAAGACCUUUCGCUUUCGGAGUGGCCGAUAUCGGAUUAGCUAGAUGGUGAGGUAAAGGCUCACCAUGGCGACGAUCCGUAGCUGGUCUGAGAGGACGACCAGCCACACUGGAACUGAGACACGGUCCAGACUCCUACGGGACGCAGCAG
rnacentral:rRNA from 1 species